rnacentral:tRNA from 1 species
GCGGGCGUGGUGGAACUGGCAGACACGCCGGCUUUAGGUGCCGGUGCCGCAAGGCUUGGGGGUUCGAGUCCCCCCGCCCGCA